rnacentral:rRNA from 1 species
GACGAACGCUGGCGGCGUGCUUAACACAUGCAAGUCGAGCGAGGCCCCUCCUUCGGGAGGGUGUCCUAGCGGCGAACGGGUGAGUAACACGUGGGCAACCUGCCCUCAGCUCUGGGAUAACUCCAAGAAAUUGGGGCUAAUACCGGAUAUGACCGCUGACCGCAUGGUCUGGUGGUGGAAAGAUUUAUCGGCUGGGGAUGGGCCCGCGGCCUAUCAGCUUGUUGGUGGGGUAGUGGCCUACCAAGGCGACGACGGGUAGCCGGCCUGAGAGGGUGACCGGCCACACUGGGACUGAGACACGGCCCAGACUCCUACGGGAGGCAGCAGUGGGGAAUAUUGCGCAAUGGGCGGAAGCCUGACGCAGCGACGCCGCGUGGGGGAUGACGGCCUUCGGGUUGUAAACCUCUUUCAGCAGGGACGAAGCGAAAGUGACGGUACCUGCAGAAGAAGCACCGGCCAACUACGUGCCAGCAGCCGCGGUAACAC